rnacentral:sRNA from 1 species
UAUUGUUAUGGUUAAUAACAAAAUGAAUCUCAAGCCUUUUAUUCUGCUGUGUUUUCUGUCCGCGGUGGUUGUCAUCGCUGCGGUUGUGGCUGAUGAUCCACCUCUAGAAAAGGGAAAUGCUCCAGGAAUGAGUGGAAUUGACGAGAAAUUUACUGGAAGCGAUGACGAGCAGGGACUCUUUUUUAGCGGUAGGAAACUCGUGUCAAAUUAUGGUACCGAUCAUUGUAGAGGAAAGGGAGGAAAAGGAGGUGGCGGAUACAGUGGUGGUUGUAGUGGUGGAUGCCGAGGAAGAGGUGGUAGUGCUGGA